rnacentral:rRNA from 1 species
AAAACUGCGCGCGCCGAAAGACUAAGGUUUCCUUGGCGAUGUCAAUCAGCCAAGGGUUAGUCGGGCCUAAGGGAAUGGCGAAAGCCGCACCCGAUGGACAGCAGGUUAAUAUUCCUGCACUUUUGUAUGUUGCGAUGGAUGGACGAAGUGUAGUAUGCAUUGCUCAUUAUUGGAUUUGAAGUUAGUAGCGUCAGAAUGUUGUGUAGGUAAAUCCGCACACUGAGUUAAAUCUCGAAUUCAAGCGUUACUAAAACCUGGAGAUUCGUCAAAGGGGAUUUUGCAAAGCACGCUUCCAAGAAAAACUUCUAAGUCCCGAUUUGAUUUAUCAAAUCGUGGAUCCCGACUCUGUAAUGGAGUCGGGACAUAAACAUAUAGAAACCGUACCGUAAACCGACACAGGUAGUCAGGUCGAGAAGACCAAGGCGAACGAGUGAGAUGUCCCCAAGGAACUCGGCAAAAAAGCGGCCGUACCUUCGGUAUAAGGCCUUCCCGAUGGUGUCGCAAGACGCCACAUUGGGACGCAGCUAAAGUAUCCCUGGCGACUGUUUAUCAAAAACACAGCUCCCUGCGAACUCGUAAGAGGAUGUAUAGGGGGUGACACCUGACCAAUGCCAGAAGGUCAAACAACGCCGUUGUGAGAAUCGCAAGAUUUUUAUGGUGAGUGUUGUAAGCCCUGGUGAAUGUCGGCAAUAACUAUAAUUGUCCUAAGGUUCUGAAAUUUUCUUCGGAAGAUUUCAGAAGGACUGGGACAGUUAUAGCGAUAAGCAGUUUGACAUAAGAAUUUGAGACAGUGAAAGUUAAUUACACCAAAAAGAAGCUACCUAAACUAAAGUAAUUUAGUUUUAGUCCAAACAUGGUUAACAAGCGCACCAACACCAUGCACCCGACUCGCGCAAGCGAAGGGUGAAGAUAGAGUCCGAGUUCAAGGAAUACUCGAGCGAAAUUCCUUGUCUGGUAAGUUCAGACGCGCACGAAUGGUGUAACGACUGGGGAACUGUCUCGGGGACUCGCUCGGUGAAAAUACAGUACCGGUGAAGAUGCCGGUUACCUGCAGUUAGACGAAAAGACCCCGGAAGCUUUACUGCAACUUGGCAUUGAGAAUAUGUUUGGACUGCGUAGCAUAGAUGGCAGACUUUGAAGCGUCGCUUUUGGGUGGCGUGGAGUCAACAGUGAAAUACCAUUCUUUCUUGACAUAUUUUCUAACCUCGCACGCAAAACGUGCAAGAGACAGUGCCUGGCGGGCAGUUUUAGUGGGGCGCUAUCCUUGAGCAUUUGAAAGACAACCCCACCCUGCCCUCCCCAAAAGGGAGGGUUCCAAAAGUCCUUACCCUUCGGGGAAGGAUUUAGGAUGGGGUGGUUUUCGAAUGUUCAAUCCGUGGCGCCUCCUAGGUGGUUCACGCCGAAAAAAAUAAAAAAGGGGGACCAUAUCGUCAGAUUAUUUUUUGGCGGUAUGAGAAAAGUUAGCUAUAUGCUGAGAAAUCUCUAUGAGAUAAUCAGCAGGGAAGAUUUGUAAACUUCAAUGUGGGAGAAAACAAAAGGAGAAAAUGAAAUGGGUGCAACCGAUGACGUAAAAUAUCAAUUAUCUCAAGCGAGAAGAGAACCUGGCGAGACUGAUGAAAAGUUAGCUCGCAGACUUUUUUACUUGCAAAUGGAGGUCUACUCAGCAAAUGCUGGGCGCGAUCUUUAUGAAGGUGGUGAUUUCGAGCGUCUCGAUCCACAAGUUCAAGAACAAUGGAUCGAAAAAGCAGGCAAAUACCAGUAGAGUCCUUUCUGGGCCAACCCCGUUGGCCCCAUAUUGAAGUUUACAAAAACCCUCAGAGACUAAACGCUAACCCGCGUCAGACGCGGAAGAUAUAGUCCGAACUUUGUGGCGACAUAAAGAGUGGUAAUAUUCCGUUAUUACCGAUUAACACAAUGCCUAAAGAGUAACGGAGGAGCCUAUUAAGGUCAGCUAGCUGUGAAUGGAAACCAUAGCGAUAGUGUAUAGGCACAAGCUGGCUUAACUGCAAGACGUACAUGUCACGCAGACACGAAAGUGGAGCUAAGUGAACCGAUCGUACGUGUUAGACGCGGCGAAGGAUUAUCGGACAAAAGCUACUCCGGGGAUAACAGGCUGGUACUGCCUAAGCGUCCAGAGCGACGGCAGUGUUCGGCACCUUAACUUUCAAUUUAAAUGUUGAGAACAUCGGGGUGCCUAUCGUAGUAAUGCGAUACAAAAACAAUUUGGCUUAUAUCGGUGGACUCCAUAAACAAGCGUUAUAUAAUUUGAUAUAAUUAGUAAUAUGGACAAUACCGAGGGAAGUCUAUCUCAAUUACAAAAGUCAUUCAUUAUCGGAACUCUUUUGGGAGACGGGUAUAUUCGUCAAGCAAAAGGAAGAAAGAAUGCAUUUCUAGAAGUUAAUCAUUCUAUAACUCAAAAAGAUUAUGUUGAAUGGAAAUACUCUGUCUUGAAAGAUUUAACACGAAGUGGUCCAAAGUCUCGAAAGGGAAAUGGUACACGAGUUGCGUAUAGAUUUUUUACAAAACAACAUCCUGAAUUUACUAAAAUGAUGGAUUUGUUUUACAAAGAUAAGAAGAAAUGUAUUCCUGAUCUAAAAUUAGAUCCAAUGAUAUUGGCAGUGUGGUUUAUGGAUGAUGGAAGUAGAUGUGGUGAAGAAAAUGUAUAUCUAAAUACCCAACAAUUUUCAAAAGAAGACCAAGAAAAGUUAUUGGAAUCUCUAAGGGAAAUUGGUUUAGAGGGAACUCUAAAUAAAGAUAAGCAGUAUUAUAGAAUUAGAUUUAAAACAUCAAGCAUCUCAAAAUUAUUUGGAAUAAUUGAAAAUAAUAUUAUUCCGUCCAUGAAAUAUAAAUUGGGUUAUGACCCCGUAGAGACUUAACCGUAAGUGGUUGGAGUGUGAAGCUAGACUUCAUGCUAAUACGCCGAACCCCUUCUUUAAAUUAAAGAAGGGUGAAGAUAUAGUCCGAUCCUUCCAGUAAUGGGAGAAAAUACGACAGCGAUGUCGGCUCAUCUUAUCCCGGGGGUGGAGAAGCUCCCAAGGGUAUGGCUGUUCGCCAUUUAAAAAGAUACGCGAGCUGGGUUCAGACCGUGGAGGAGUUGUAUCAUGUAGCAAUACAUAUCGCGACUUCUCCACAAUCUGAAUCCUCAGAGGGAAAAGAAAACUGUUAUAAAUUAAUUCGUCUUGUUAAAUGAAAAGUAGAUAAAUCAAAUCACGGCGGUCUAUUGUAGAAAUAUAAUAUGAUCAAGUCAAUUUAUAUCGGGAAAAUCCUUAAAGGAUAAUUCCGAGGGAAGUUUUGUUUUGCGAGAGGGGAAGGAAGAGUAAGCAAUCAGCCAACCAACGACGAUUUUUGUCGGGCUGUAUGUGGCUUGGACAACCAUGACCACGAGCCAUGGUACUUUCUCCUCAUUCUCUUGCAGAACAAAAUACCCGUAGAGACUAAACAUUGACGUUCCUGAAAGGGAAUAAGCUAUAGUCCAUUGCCACAAGUAAUUGUGGGGUUCCGCCUUCGCUAAAAGCUAUGGCGGACGAAGCAAGCGUGAGACAGGUUGGUCUCCUAUCUACUGCAGGCGUUGAUUCUUGAGGGGAUUUGACUCUAGUACGAGAGGACCGAGUUGAACUGACCUCUGGUGUGCCUGCUGUUCUGCCAAGAGCAUCGCAGGGUAGCUAAGUCGGGAAAGGAUAACCUCUGAAAGCAUAUAAGAGGGAAGCCAGCCCCAAGAUUAGGAAUCGUUAAGGAUCGUGAGAGAUGAUCACGUUGAUAGGCGCUAGGUGUAAGCACUGUAAAGUGUUGAGCCGAGGCGUACUAAUUUUCCGAUUCU